rnacentral:rRNA from 1 species
GAUGAACGCUGGCGGCGUGCCUAAUACAUGCAAGUCGAGCGAACGGACGAGGAGCUUGCUCCUCUGACGUUAGCGGCGGACGGGUGAGUAACACGUGGAUAACCUACCUAUAAGACUGGGAUAACUUCGGGAAACCGGAGCUAAUACCGGAUAAUAUUUUGAACCGCAUGGUUCAAUAGUGAAAGACGGUUUUGCUGUCACUUAUAGAUGGAUCCGCGCCGCAUUAGCUAGUUGGUAAGGUAACGGCUUACCAAGGCAACGAUGCAUAGCCGACCUGAGAGGGUGAUCGGCCACACUGGAACUGAGACACGGUCCAGACUCCUACGGGAGGCAGCAGUAGGGAAUCUUCCGCAAUGGGCGAAAGCCUGACGGAGCAACGCCGCGUGAGUGAUGAAGGUCUUCGGAUCGUAAAACUCUGUUAUUAGGGAAGAACAUAUGUGUAAGUAACUGUGCACAUCUUGACGGUACCUAAUCAGAAAGCCACGGCUAACUACGUG